AUGUUACGCUCCGCUCUUUUCAAUGCACAUGUAAGCAAAUGUCCCAAAAAAGACAACCGAAAAUUAGAUCGUCAUUGAUUUAGUGUUGCGCUACUGUUUUUAGGAAUAUAUAUUAGUGUGAAUGGGGAUAAUGUUUGAUUGCAACUUUGCAAGGUUUGCCCAGCCACCGUUACCUUUGCGGGUCUCUCAGGUGCAGACAGCGUGAGUUUUCAGACAGGAAUUCAGCAGUCUUUUGUCUUUUAUCAGGCUGAUAUAGUUGUGUAUGGCAGUCCAGACGGCAGCAUCAAGCUUGGCUUUGUAUUUGUAUCCAUUCCAUGCAGUCACUAAAAGAGAGACAACCAGCAGAAUUGUGUCCAGAGACUUGUCUUCCACCUACACCUCACCAGAACACAACGCAGAAAGCCAAACGUGAUGAACAAAACGGAUCGAUUUCUCCUACACAAAUAAUAUUUUGGGAAAAACGGGACAUUUGCUAUCUAACUGAAAGUCUCCUCAUUGAAAACACCCGAAGUUCUUCAAAGCUGUGUCUAUGGCGCGCAGAUCACCAUCUGCAUUGUUUGUGAUACCGGGAGCACGGGUCCAGGUCCAUUGCAUUUCUAACUGCCAUGGGGAGAAAACGGUCGGCUGAAAACACUCCGGCUCAAGGGCGAAUGACCGCACACCGAGAGGCGAGCGAGCAGAGGCUGUUAAUUCAACAACCAAAUGCAAUUGAUUUUACAUACAAGAACACCAGAAGCUAUCGUCAGAGCUUUGGACUCUAAACGUUUAUAUUUCUUAGUUUUUCUUGUCUAAAACUUCCCCGAUAUUGGGUGUUUGGACUGGAGAGAACGGAAGGUGAGUACAUCAUAAGAGAUGGAGGGAGAGGGGGACUCAUUUAAGGUCAACUUGAGUGUAUCAAUGUGGUACCAUCUGGUAUAUACAGUACUUAGAUGUAGAAAUGCAACCAGUGUUUCUGGCUCUCUCUCUCUUCUGCACUUCCUUUUCUCUGCUUGCUCUCUCCCUUUUUCUCUUUCUAUAUUUUUUUUUCUCUCUCGGUCUCUCUCUCUUUCUAUCUAGGUCUCUAUCUCUCGGUCUCUCUCUCUCUGGCCCCUAGAUCUCUCUCUCUCUGUUUCGCUCUCUAGGUCUCUCUCUCUCUGUCUCUCCCUCUCUGUUUCUCUAUAGGUCUCUCUUUCUAGGUCUCUCUCUAGGUCUCUCUCUCUCCUCUGCCAUCAAGAGUGGAUUUGAUGGAGAUGAAGGAGGAGGGAGACAUCUUUUAAUAUUUAAAUCAAUAUCCUAGAAACAGUUGGUUGACCGUUACUAUGGUAUCACAGGUGGUAAAGGCUCAAUAUACAUCUCAGACUAGAGGGAAGAUACAACUCAGACUAGAGGGAAGAGGAGAUACAACUCAGACUAGAGAGAAGAGGGGAUACAACUCAGACUAGAGGGAAGAGGGGAUACAACUCAGACUAGAGGGAAGAGGGGAUACAACUCAGACUAGAGGGAAGAGGGGAUACAACUCAGACUAGAGGGAAGAGGGGAUACAACUCAGACUAGAGGGAAGAGGGGAUACAACUCAGACUGGAGGGAAGAGGGGAUACAACUCAUACUAGUGGGAAG